rnacentral:rRNA from 1 species
CCUACGGGAGGCAGCAGUGGGGAAUAUUGGGCAAUGGGCGCAAGCCUGACCCAGCAACGCCGCGUGAAGGAAGAAGGCUUUCGGGUUGUUAACUUCUUUUUUCAGGGACGAAGCAAGUGAUGGUACCUGACGAAUAAGCCACGGCUAACUACGUGCCAGCAGCCGCGGUAAUACGUAGGUGGCAAGCGUUAUCCGGAUUUACUGGGUGUAAAGGGCGUGUAGGCGGGGAAGCAAGUCAGAUGUGAAAACCACGGGGUCAACCUGUGGCCUGCAUUUGAAACUGUUUUUCUUGAGUGCUGGAGAGGCAAUCGGAAUGCCGUGUGUAGCGGUGAAAUGCGUAGAUAUACGGAGGAACACCAGUGGCGAAGGCGGAUUGCUGGACAGUAACUGACGCUGAGGCGCGAAAGCGUGGGGAGCAAACAGGAUUAGAUACCCUGGUAGUC